ensembl:lncRNA novel transcript
AGCACUUCGGGAGACUGAGGCGGGCAGAUCACGAGGUCCGGAGAUUGAGACCAUCCUGGCCAACAUGGUGAAACCCCGUCUCUACUAAAAAUACAAAAAUUAGCUGGGCGUGGUGGCUCAUGCCUGUAAUCCCAGCUACUCAGGAGGCUGAGGCAGGAGAAUCGCUUGAACCAGGGAGUCCAAGGUUGCAGGGAGCCGAGAUCGCACCACUGCACUCCAGCCUGGCGACAGAAUAGGAAAAAUGGAAUGAAGCCAAUUCACCAAUCAUCAAAAGAAAGUCACUGAAAACCAAUUUGUUGACCUAUGUAUUGUUGGUGUCAGAGGAAAAGGGGUCAAGGGAGGAAAGCUGAAAAGUGCUGGUGAAUGAAACAACUCAUUUACUUUGAACUUCUUGAAAGACUAACCAGGAAGAUCCGGAUAAAGACACUGUCUGCACUCUACUCAGAUGCCCUUUGAGUCUAUGCGCUGUUUCUGGGCUCAUCCUCCAGCCUCAACGUGUUUGCUGCCACACAGCAUGUCCUGUGGGACUGGAGAAAUAUGGAGAAUGCAGCACACUUGCUUCCUACUGAAACAUUCGAACAGGGAAUUACUCCUCCCAAGAAUAUUCUUCCAAGGAAAUCCCUGAAAAACCAGAUGGCAGAAGUUACUCAGAAGAAAUGAAAGGAUUUUCCAUUA